UACGUAGGCGACAAGCGUUGUCUGGAUUUACUGGGCGUAAAGAGUGCGCAGGCGGUCGUUCAAGUCGAGUGUGAAAGCCCCCGGCUCAACUGGGGAGGGUCACUCGAUACUGAUCGACUUGAAGGCAGGAGAGGGAAGCGGAAUUCCCGGUGUAGUGGUGAAAUGCGUAGAUAUCGGGAGGAACACCAGUGGCGAAGGCGGCUUCCUGGCCUGCUCUUGACGCUGAGGCGCGAAAGCUAGGGGAGCAAACGGG
rnacentral:rRNA from 1 species